rnacentral:pre_miRNA from 1 species
UUGAAGAAUUUGAAGACAUCAACUUGCAGACUUUGAAGAAUUUGAAGACCUCAACUUGCAGACUUUGAAGAAUUUGAAGACUUCAACU